CUACGUGCCAGCAGCCGCGGUAAUACGGAAGGUCCGGGCGUUAUCCGGAUUUAUUGGGUUUAAAGGGAGCGUAGGCUAGAGAUUAAGUGUGUUGUGAAAUGUAGACGCUCAACGUCUGACUUGCAGCGCAUACUGGUUUCCUUGAGUACGCACAACGUUGGCGGAAUUCGUCGUGUAGCGGUGAAAUGCUUAGAUAUGACGAAGAACUCCGAUUGCGAAGGCAGCUGACGGGAGCGCAACUGACGCUGAAGCUCGAAGGUGCGGGUAUCGAACAGGAUUAGAUACCCUGGUAGUCCGCACAGUAAACGAUGGAUGCCCGCUGUUGGUACCUGGUAUCAGCGGCUAAGCGAAAGCAUUAAGCAUCCCACCUGGGGAGUACGCCGGCAACGGUGAAACUCAAAGGAAUUGACGGGGGCCCGCACAAGCGGAGGAACAUGUGGUUUAAUUCGAUGAUACGCGAGGAACCUUACCCGGGCUUGAAUUGCAGAGGAAGGAUUUAGAGAUA
rnacentral:rRNA from 1 species